UGUUGGAAGUUAUCGCGAGAUUUGUGUACAUGCGUGAGGCUGCGAGAUUUGAAUAAACAUAGAAGAAGCAGAAGCCUGGAACUGAGCUACACGCAGCAGCCUCGUGUCUCCGGUAGCAGUCAAGAGUGAACAACGACGAAUUAAUCUGUUAAAGACCUCCGAAGUGGCAGGCGGCCACGAGUUUUCACGGCGUUUAAUAAAGAGCCCGUCAAAAGGAAGCCGUGCCAGUGUUGUCGCUUUGGAGUUACAAAUGAUGUUGGUAGAAACAGCUGGACUGACGG